UACGGGGGGAGCUAGCGUUGUUCGGAAUUACUGGGCGUAAAGCGCACGUAGGCGGCUAUUCAAGUCAGAGGUGAAAGCCCGGGGCUCAACCCCGGAACUGCCUUUGAAACUAGAUAGCUUGAAUCCAGGAGAGGUGAGUGGAAUUCCGAGUGUAGAGGUGAAAUUCGUAGAUAUUCGGAAGAACACCAGUGGCGAAGGCGGCUCGCUGGACAAGUAUUGACGCUGAGGUGCGAAAGCGUGGGGAGCAAACAGG
rnacentral:rRNA from 1 species